rnacentral:misc_RNA from 1 species
GGUUGGAUCAUUAUCUCAACACAUUUGCUAACACUGAACCGGGACGCAAGUCUCUCUAAUCUAAAACAAUCUAGUGAUCAAUUAAUUAAAAAACUUUUAACAACGGAUCUCUUGGCUCUCACAUCGAUGAAGAACGCAGCAAACUGCGAUACGUAGUGUGAAUUGCAGAAUUUGUGAAUCAUCGAAUCUUUGAACGCACUUUGCACUCUUCCUUGGGAGAGUAUGCCUGUUUGAGUACCUAAUCCUUCUCCCGUCAGGGGUCUUGAGCGGUCGCACGGCGUCGCUUUAAAUGGAUUUAGGGAGCAGUGUUGGAAGGGACUUGUCCUGCGCACCAACCCCUUUAGCACAAAAGGUCUCAAAUCAGGUAGGAAGACCCGCUGAACUUAAGCAUAUCAAUAAGCGGAGGAAAAGAAACUAACAAGGAUCCCCCUAGUAACGGCGAGUGAAGCGGGGAGAGCUCAAAUUUGAAAUCUCCUAGGGCAACCUGGGCGAGUUGUAGUUUAGAGGAGCAUUGUCGAGACUGCGCGCUGCCAAAAUCUCCUGGAAAGGGGUGCCGUAGAGGGUUAAAGCCCCGUUUGGCGGUGUUCGGGUCUUGUGCGACGUGUUUCCCAAGAGUCGGUUUGUUUGGGAAUGCAGACCUAAAUGGGUGGUAAAUACCAUCUAAAGCUAAAUACAAGUGAGAGACCGAUAGCGAACAAGUACCGUGAGGGAAAGAUGAAAAGAACUUUGAAAAGAGAGUUAAACAGUACGUGAAAUUGUUAAAAGGGAAACGUUUGAAACCAGUAUUGCAACGGGAAAUUCAGCCUACCAUUGGUGGGUGCACUUUUCCCUGGCGAGUCAACAUCAGUUUUGGGCGAGAUACAAGGCCGUUUGCAGGUGUCCCCUCGGGGAGUUAUAGCUUGCGGUGAUGCCUCGCGCAGGACUGAGGACUGCAGUGUGAAACGAGAUGAGGUCGCCCCGGAACGCAUUUCCAGAGACUGCUUGCAGAUUCUGACGGAUGUCUACGGGUUUGGCUAGAGUCUUUAGCACUAGGGAUGUUGACGAAAUGGUUUUAAGCGACCCGUCUUGAAACACGGACCAAGGAGUCUAACAUAUGCGCGAGUAUUUGGGUGGCAAACCCUUGUGCGGAAUGAAAGUGAAAAGCUGAGAAUUUAUGCAUCAGCGACCGGGCCUUUAGGUCUGAGUAUGAGCGUAUAUGUUGGGACCCGAAAGAUGGUGAACUAUGCCUGGGUAGGGUGAAGCCAGAGGAAACUCUGGUGGAGGCUCGUAGCGGUUCUGACGUGCAAAUCGAUCGUCAAACCUGGGUAUAGGGGCGAAAGACUAAUCGAACCAUCUAGUAGCUGGUUCCCUC